UCGGGUUGUAAAGCACUUUUGUCCGGAAAGAAAACUUCUGCCCUAAUACGGCGGGAGGAUGACGGUACCGGAAGAAUAAGCACCGGCUAACUACGUGCCAGCAGCGCGGUAAUCGUAGGGUGCGAGCGUUAAUCGGAAUUACUGGGCGUAAAGCGUGCGCAGGCGGUUCGUUAAGACAGAUGUGAAAUCCCCGGGCUUAACCUGGGAACUGCAUUUGUGACUGGCGAGCUAGAGUAUGGCAGAGGGGGGUAGAAUUCCACGUGUAGCAGUGAAAUGCGUAGAGAUGUGGAGGAAUACCGAUGGCGAAGGCAGCCCCCUGGGCCAAUACUGACGCUCAUGCACGAAAGCGUGGGGAGCAAACAGGAUUAGAUACCCUGGUAGUCCACGCCCUAAACGAUGUCAACUAGUUGUUGGGUCUUCAUUGACUUAGUAACGUAGCUAACGCGUGAAGUUGACCGCCUGGGGAGUACGGUCGCAAGAUUAAAACUCAAAGGAAUUGACGGGGACCCGCACAAGCGGUGGAUGAUGUGGAUUAAUUCGAUGCAAUGCGAAAAACCUCACCUAUUUUUGACAUGGUCGGAACCCUGCUG
rnacentral:rRNA from 1 species